CCCUGGGAGGGGGAUAACGUUCCGAAAGGAACGCUAAUACCGCAUAAGACCACGAGAGGUACGCCUCUUGAGGUAAAAGCUGGCCUCUGCUUGCAAGCUAGCGCCCUAGAAUGAGUCUGCGGCCCAUCAGCCAGUUGGUAGGGUAAUGGCCUACCAAAGCGAAGACGGGUAGCUGUUCUGAGAGGAUGAUCAGCCACACUGGCACUGAAACACGGGCCAG
rnacentral:rRNA from 1 species